AGCACAUUUCUUGUGUGACCGCGUACUUUUUGUAGAACGGGCCAACGAGUUACGUUAAGUAGCAAGGUUAAGCACUUAAGGUGCGGAGCCGUAGCGAAAGCGAGUUUUAACUGAGCGUUCAGUUACUUGACGUAGACCCGAAACCGGGCGACCUACCCAUGAGCAGGAUGAAGCGAAAGUAAAAUUUCGUGGAGGUCCGAACCCACGAGCG
rnacentral:rRNA from 1 species